GGCGAACGGGUGAGUAACACGUGGGUGAUCUGCCCCUUACUUUGGGAUAAGCCUGGGAAACUGGGUCUAAUACUGGAUAGGACCAUGCUGUAGGUGGUGUGGUGGAAAGAUUAGUUUCGGUAAGGGAUGAGCUCGCGGCCUAUCAGCUUGUUGGUGGGGUAAUGGCCUACCAAGGCGUCGACGGGUAGCCGGCCUGAGAGGGUGGGCGGCCACAUUGGGACUGAGAUACGGCCCAG
rnacentral:rRNA from 1 species